CUCAUCUUUUUAAUGCACCAUUUCCACAGGAUCUUCUAAUUGCGUCUUGUGGGAUUGGAGUGUUUUCUCUUGCAGCCUCUCUUUGGAAAUUUGUUACAUUUCCUGCUACGAUGUUCUCCUGCUAUUUUAUUUUCAGGAAGAUACCAGGAUAAACAGUCAGCCAAUCUAUUGAAGCACUCAGAAGAUAAAGGAUGAUAAGAAAAGAACCAGCAUGGAUGUUCUGAGAACAAAUCAUAUCAAGCUCCAUUCUGCAGAUAAGCUAUUACUACAGAUCCCACACUACUGAAUUCCCAGGAUUUCUCAGGAACUCAGCUGUGUUCAGUGAAAUAUGUGAUAAAACAGUCCAGGACUCUUCUUUCAUCUCCUGAAACACAGCUGCAGAUUUGCAUGUGGCAAAUGCUAAGGAGGGGUGGAAGACAACUCACAGGAAUGAGAGCCAGAGGUAAUGGAAACACAGAGAAAGGCCUUAAUUUGUGCUCAAACCAAGGAAUAAAAACAAGAUGCAGC